rnacentral:rRNA from 1 species
UAACGCGUGAGGAACCUGCCUUGAAGAGGGGGACAACAGUUGGAAACGACUGCUAAUACCGCAUGAAGCAUAGGGGUCGCAUGAUUCUUUAUGCCAAAGAUUUAUCGCUUCAAGAUGGCCUCGCGUCUGAUUAGCUGGUUGGCGGGGUAACGGCCCACCAAGGCGACGAUCAGUAGCCGGACUGAGAGGUUGAACGGCCACAUUGGGACUGAGAUACGGCCCAG